UCUCUACACCGCAGACUCGAGACUCAACUGUCCUAAAGGGAGGUGAUCCAUGCAUCAAUCUUGAAUGGAUUGAUCACUGUCCUCCACGAUGAUCCUUCGAUCGAGAGUAUUUAGAAAUUAACCACUAAUGAUGUAUGUCUCAAAUUCCCAACACCUUGAGAAUAUACAAAAUUAUCUUUAUUAAUUUUUAAAAUAAAUCAUAGACACAUAAAUAUGAUUGAUUAUUAAGACUGCCUAACAAGUACAAAAUAUGCCCCAGAAGAAAGUAUGUAUCAGUCAAACUUGGCUUCUGGGACACACAUCCAAUACUACCUCCAUCCCU
rnacentral:lncRNA from 1 species